AACCGCUGUUCCAUGGCGCGCGCCGGGCGCCAGACACGAGUACGCCUGCGCUGGCGCCUGGCCGCUCUGUAGUGCGCGUGCGCAUUGGGGACCUGGGGCGCGCGGGCUCUGUGACGUCGGGUUCCGGGAUUGUGCAGGAUCACACUGGAUGCUGGAGAUGAGACCCUGAAAGAGUGAAAAAGAUGAAGGAAACCAGUGAGGAGAAAAACAACACCAAGUUGCAAAUGCUACUGUGAUUCUAUCCUGACCUCCCUCGACAAAAGACCUUACUCCUGUGCCCCAGGACUUCACUUCUUCAGAACCCUACCCCACUAGGGAAAGAUAGAAACAAGUUGAAGGUAUGAAUUGACCUGCUAAUGUCCAUAUCCAGCAGAGAAGCAAUUACAGAAACCAGAACUUCCACCUUCUUCAACCCAAAAAGAAUUUGGGGCCAUACUUCCAGAGGGGUAGAAACGUUAGGGGAAGAUGACCAGAGGGCUCUGAACUCCCAAUUCCAUCAGGACCCUGGGAGAGAAGAGGAAAAAAGGAAGGACAUUCAGAACUAACAGUA